CGACCAUCCCAAGCUCUAUCGCGUCAAUGGGAAAUAAGGUCCGCUAUCCAGUUGAUGACAUCACAAGGCCUGUGGCAUGCACACUAGUUAUAAGAUAUAGUAUUAACAAUCAGCGUACAAAGAAAGUAGCCACAUGUCUUGCGAUCCCAGGACGCAAGUUCCAUAGAAACGACAUUCCAGAAGAAUAUUGCAGGGUAGAAGUGACGACAGUCGUCCAAGGAUCCGAGGACGACAUGCUAGACAUCCCUGGGCCCGAAGGUAUCGAGACACUUGGACAAGAUAUCAAGAAUUUUAUCCUUUGGCCUCGAAGGGAUGUCGAAUUGGUUGAUCCACCACGACAGCCG
rnacentral:misc_RNA from 1 species